AUGGGGGCAAUGUGGUUGUUACAUCUCUCAUCUCAUUGUCUGUCACCAUUGAUAUGACUAAUCCAUCUGGAAAAGACCGGUGUCCUCUUCCUUCUACCUCAUCCUCAAAUGUGUGUACACCUCCCCAAACUGUCCACUUGAGGAAAAGGGAGCAUCCUCAAAUAAGCAGGACUAUUCUUCAAUCAAUGUCAUACCAAUAGCUGUAAACCUACACAAGAAACCCCAAAGAGUGUCCUCAUGCCUCAAAGUGAAAACAGUAGGAAGACGCACAGAUGUACGUGUUUAGCAGAAAGAAAGCCCUUGCCAGACAUCAGAAUCAUUAGCUCUUUGCU
rnacentral:snRNA from 1 species